AUGGAAAGCAUAGGAAUAGAUGUGUAUUCGACAGUGAGCAACUAGAGGUCCAUGAAGUUCCCCAGGAGGUUGUAGACAAGGGUAGUGUUUGGGUGAGGGCUGAUACUGUAGCUUUGGGGCAGCUAACACAUCAGUAGACAGUAGUCUCAGGACUCAGGAGUGAUGUGCAGCUCUCUUGCAUAUUCGAGAAAAAAAUCAAGAGGAGUUUGAAAAGAAAAACAAGUAUGGAGCUGUUUCAUCUUCACGGGGGCUUUGAUCGAUAAGGAUUCAGGAGUGCUGGAAGAAGAUUUGGAGCAAGAGCUGUCGCUGUCCGGCGUCUGGCGGUCUGGGGGAGACCAGUGAUUUUCCUACGCACGCCUGCCAAAAGUGGGAUGGAGUUGAACGCAAAAUGUGUUGUUUGUCAUUGGGUAGAUGGAGGAGGACACCUCGUUUAUACGCGCGGAGGAGGUGUAGUGCGACUGUGCGAGUUGAAUUUGUAAGAAACUCAGCCGCAUGCUUGCUUGGAGAUACUUGAGAUGGAACGG
rnacentral:lncRNA from 1 species